rnacentral:lncRNA from 1 species
GACAUGGGAAAGUGUAUGCAGUCAGGGAGAAUGCAUGUGAAGGUUGGAGUUGUGCCGCUGAAAGCCAAGGAACUCCCAGAAGCUAGAAAAGAGGUCUGGAACAGACCUUUCCCAGCCCCUUCAGAGGGAGCAUGAUUCUGCCUACACCUUGAUCUCAGGUUUCAGCCUCCAGAACUGUGAGACAAUAAAUUUCCAUUGUUGAGGCUGCCCUGUCAGAGGCCCUUUGUUAAGGAAAACUUAGGAAACUCGUGCAUGCCUAACGCUCUUUGUUCCCCAGGCACAGGAAUCUGAGGAGUCUUCCUCAAUGAGAUGUAUCACCUGAUACCUCCAAGCAAGCAGGUGUUCUUUUCAGAAGCCAGAAGCUGAUAACCUGGGCUUUCUGAUCUAACCCCAGCCCAAAUUCAUUGCAAUGGAGGAAUUGGGGAGGAGAUUCUUCCUACUGAGAAGUGGGUGCCAACUCUCCCUUUCAAAUUUGUUCAUCAACUAACUAAAGGGGAUGCCAGAAAUGUCUGGAGCAAUGGAAGAACCACUGGAAUAAUGCUCCUGCCUGAUUGCAUCUACUUAACCCACUCUCCAAGAGCCAGAAUCAGAUUUCAACCGUAUGGAAUCAUCUACAAUGCAGCAGAUGGGUUUACAAGUCUCUUGGUCUCUUCGUGUAAUUAACAGCCAAGAAGUCUAAAGCUUGCAUUGUUUACGUGGAAGAUGUUUCUUGCCCAUUCCCACGCCAUGCCAUCUGAAAUCGCUCCUUUUUUUAUUUUUUCUGUGCAGUUUUUUUAACUUUGUGGGAUCCUCUGCAUAUAAAACUCCAUUCAACUACUUCAUCCUACUGUAGAAAGCUACUUCCCUAUGAGUUUAGCUCCAUGAUUUACAAUGGUUUCUUUUCCCAUUUGCUGUCUGAAUUAUGUUUCGCAAGAACCCUUUGAAAUAAGGAAGGCAUGUAUCAUCUUUCCCUUUUACAGGCAAAGAAACUGAGGCACAGAAAGGCUUAGUAGUAGGUGAUCCUGCAAGAAUUCAAAUGACUUGUCUGGUUCUAAGUUGAGUGCUCUUUUUCUGAUGCCGCAUGUCUUUUCUCCAGAGAAGUAACCUACCUAGACCCAGAGGGAGCUUGAAGAGAGAUUUUCAUCUUACUGUGAGAAAACAAAGACCCAGAGAGUGGAGGGUUUAAGACCAUCCCGGUCAUUGCCAUUAUUUCUUUUCAAAGAGACAGAGGCCUCUGUGUGGAGCUGCUUCUGUGUUUGUGGUGUGAAUUUUGCUGGUGAGAUGUGAGACUCAAAAGAAAUCUGAGAGAUUGUGUCUGACCUUAAGGAAUUUACUAAGAAACCAGGGAAAUAAAGCUGUCUUACAAGAUGCUUAAAACAACAACUAAAGGCAGCCUUAGAUUGGGAGGUACUCCUUCCAAGAUAGAAAUUUCUUAACCUUUGCUUUGAAGUCUGGUUUCUUUUUCAAGAUCCAGAAGCAUAAUCCGUAGUUAGAUUUAGGUUCAAGCCCUUCCUAACUGAUCAUGUUCUAAAUUCCUAUAGUGGUCAUCAAUGUCAUGUCAGCUCAUGUGAAGGUUUUUUCUCCCUUUUUUUUUAGUGGUGAGGAAAAGAUGUAGUAGUAUUUUUCAUGGACUUUGCAGCCUUCUUCAUGGCAAAUAACUUAUUGGAUUAGUUUUCGGUUCUUUUUAAUCAAG